ensembl:lncRNA
CAGGUCAUUUCAUGAAGUAAUGAUGAUGUCAUGGCAAGUAAUUAAGAAACAUACUGCAUUACUUUUAAGAAAAGUAAUGAGUAACAUGUAAUAAGAGACAGCUUCUUCCACCAGGCCAUCAGACUGCUGAACACGUCAUAGACACCUCAGCUUCACUACUGGAACUUUAACAUUAUGCACUCCAUACUGUACAGUAAUGCCACUGUUUUGCACAUGUCUCAACUCUGUAUAUUUUUAUAUAUUUUAUUUAUUGUUUACUCUAUUUAAUUUGUAAAAUAUGUGUAAACACACACACACACACGCGUAGAAAGUUGAAAAUAGCUUUCUAGUAAAAAAUAGUAUCAGAAUUAAACUGGGGAAAACAGCCCAGUUGUUGUUGUGUUUUGUUGUGAUUCUAUCUUUGUACCUGUCAUUUAAAAUGCUAUCCUACAUCCAGCCGCUAGAGGGCGCAUUACGCGCAGUGGUAUCGAGUAGCGUUUUGGGGCACAGAGGAAGAAUAAACCUUCCUGUUGUGAAACUGACAUCAGCUCAACGUGUGUCCCUUUUUCUAUUCUUUAUCACAGCGCCACACGUUGUUGAACAGGAAACCAGUUGCCCCUCUGGUCAUCAUCUUAGGGAGGCAACAAAUGCAUAUACUAUUAUAUAUUGUACAUAUAUUUAUUAGUUUCAGAUUUAGCCAUUCUUGUAUUUUGCUUGUUUACAUUAUUGUAUUUUGCACAACUCUGUUGCUUGUGAAGCUCGCACACAAGAAUUUCACUCACAUGUGCUGUACCAAUGUACCUGCACAUGUGAUGUGACAAUAAAAGUGAUUUGAUUUGAUUUGAUUUAAAUGACUUUUCCUGAGUAACCCUCACAGUGCAUUGUUGCUACCUACUUGGAGAACUGCCAUCUUAUAAAACAGACAAAGACAUUUCAAUUAAAUUCAAUUUUAUUUAUAUAGCACCAAAUCACAACAAAAGUCGCCUCAAGGCGCUUUAUAUUGUACAGUAGAUACGGAGAAAAACCCAACAAUCAUAUGACCCCCUAUGAGCAAGCACUCUGGCGACAGUGGGAAGGAAAAACUUCCUCCGGCAAGAAACCUCCAGCAGAACCGGG